rnacentral:rRNA from 1 species
CUACGUGCCAGCAGCCGCGGUAAUACGGAAGGUCCGGGCGUUAUCCGGAUUUAUUGGGUUUAAAGGGAGCGUAGGCCGUGGAUUAAGCGUGUUGUGAAAUGCAGGUGCUCAACGUCUGCACUGCAGCGCGAACUGGUCCACUUGAGUGCGCGCAACGUUGGCGGAAUUCGUCGUGUAGCGGUGAAAUGCUUAGAUAUGACGAGGAACCCCGAUUGCGAAGGCAGCUGACGGGAGCAUAACUGACGCUGAAGCUCGAAGGUGCGGGUAUCGAACAGGAUUAGAUACCCUGGUAGUCCGCACGGUAAACGAUGGAUGCCCGCCGUCCGCCCUUUUAUUGGGCGUGUGGCCAAGCGAAAGCAUUAAGCAUCCCACCUGGGGAGUACGCCGGCAACGGUGAAACUCAAAGGAAUUGACGGGGGCCCGCACAAGCGGAGGAACAUGUGGUUUAAUUCGAUGAUACGCGAGGAACCUUACCCGGGCUUGAA